rnacentral:rRNA from 1 species
GACGGAAGGUGCAAGCGUUGCUCGGAAUCACUGGGCGUAAAGGGUGCGUAGGCGGCCGUGCAAGUCUGGCGUGAAAGCCCCGGGCUCAGCCCGGGAACUGCGUUUGAAACUGGGGAGCUAGAGUGUAGAAGAGGGGGGUGGAAUUCCAGGUGUAGCAGUGAAAUGCGUAGAGAUCUGGAGGAACACCGAUGGCGAAGGCAGCCCCCUGGGCUAACACUGACGCUCAUGCACGAAAGCGUGGGGAGCAAACAGG